UGUGGGCACGCUUUGAUUACUGAAUUAAGUUGACUUAACCCUUGUAUCUUUAAGGUUCCAAGCUGUCGUCCAUUGGGAGUUAAAAUCUAUUGGAAGGAGAUUUUGGAGUGGUUGUUAAUCAAGUUCCUUGGGGUCGUUUCUUCAAAUCGCGGUCAUUGUUUGGUUGUCGGAGUUUAUCUGUGGAAUUUCGAUUAAGGUAAGGGUAGAGAUGCACUGGUGAUGGCGCAGCGGAAUUCGUGAUCAUGCCACUGGG